UAUUCGAUAGUCGCGUUACAGCCCUAGAUUCUUGUUGUAUUCUAAAUGACGGAAGUGUGGAACGUGCGUGCGCUCUUCGAUCAGUAACUGCAAUGCUUGUUUCAAAGGGGUCCCCGUUUUGGGAUCGUUGUCUACUACAAGUCGUGCGAACGGCACGAAUCGACUUUCCAGGGCACUGGAUACGAGUAAUGGGUUUCUGAGGCCAUACUCUUACGAUGUGACGAUUGCUCGUGCGUUGAAAGCAUUUUGGUCUAAGGUGUUUGCACAGUUUACAGCAGGAAAUGUGGUUGGUGGAAAUUAUGAGCUGUUAAGAAUUUGGUGUUCAAGUUUUUGUAAGAGAGGAUGUUGGAGUUGUGACUGGCUCAAGCACUCGUUUUGUAUCGAACAACGCUCGUCUCGAGGGUUAUGCUAACAUAUCUCAUCAGCUGAUCUAGAUCUAUUAUACCUAUAAAUCCAUCAAAUGCACGGCUACAGAGGAAGCAAAGACAAGAUUUGAUUAGGAUGGGUUACUGUCAUGGAAAGUAGAAGGUUGAUUUGGAUAGUCAGGUUACAUUUGCAACCUUUGAGUGGGAAGUCUAUAGGUAAUGGGAGUAAUUGCGGCUCUCACAGAGGUAUUUUUGCAACACCACAGUUAGGAGAAAUAUGGAUUAAUAAA